AUAGCGCUUUGGGCAAAAAUUGAUGCUCAAUUAUGUAGCAUCUUGUGGCGUUCUAUUGAUUCUAAGUUGAUGCCUUUGUUUCGGCCAUUCCAGACAUGUUAUUUGGUUUGGGCAAAGGCUCGUACGUUAUACACUAAUGAUAUAUCUCGUUUCUAUGAUGUGAUAUCACGGAAGACAAACUUAAAGAAGCAAGAAUUAGAUAUGUCUACUUACUUGGGUCAGGUACAGGCAGUCAUGGAGGAAUUUGAGACAUUGAUGCCAGUUUCUGCUAGUGUGUCAAAACAACAAGAGCAGCGACAGAAAAUGUUUCUAGUUCUUACACUCGCUGGACUUCCUCAUGAUCUUGAUUCAGUACGAGACCAAAUUUUGGCGAGUCCGACUGUCCCUACAGUUGAUGAAUUAUUCUCUCGAUUACUUCGCCUUGCUGCAACACCAAGUCACCCAGUGAUUUCAUCACAGAUACUUGAUUCCUCUGUUCUUGCAUCCCAGACAGUGGAUGUUCGGGCAUCUCAAACUAUGGAGAAUAGACGAGGAGGCGGUUGUUUUGGGAGAUCUAGACCCAAGUGUUCUUAUUGUCACAAACUUGAACACACUCGCGAAAUGUGUUAUUCCUUAAAUGGCCGUCCACCCAAAAAUGCCUACGUUGCUCAGAGCGAGACUGCAGGUAACCAGGGCUUUUCUGUAUCUAAAGAAGAAUAUAAUGAGCUCCUUCAGUAUCGAGCAAGUAAGCAAACAUCUCCACGAGUAGCCUCAGUUGCCCAGACUGAUACUCCUAUUGCUAGUAAUUCUUUUGCUUGUGUUUCCCAGUCUAGUACUCUUGGACCAUGGGUCAUGGACUCGGGCGCUUCUGAUCACAUCUCUGGUAAUAAAUCACUUUUGUCGAAUAUUGUAUAUUCACAGUCUCUUCCUACUGUUACUUUAGCCAAUGGAUGUCAAACUAAGGCACAAGGAGUUGGACAAGCCAACCCAUUGUCUUCUAUCACCCUAUAUUCCGUUCUUUAUGUUCCUGGUUAUCCUUUUAGUCUUGCAUCUGUUAGUCGUUUGACACGUGCCCUCAAUUGUGGUAUAUAUUUUAUUGAUGAUUCUUUUAUUAUGCAGGACCGCAGUACGGGACGGACAAUUGGUACAAGUCGUGAAUCAGAAGGUCUUUACUACCUUAACUCGCUCAGUCCUUCCACAACAUGUCUAGUUACAGAUUCUCCAGAUCUAAUCCACGUUUAGGACAUCCGAGUUUAUCCAAACUUCAAAAGAUGGUGCCUAGUUUAUCCAGUUUGUCUAGAUUAGAUUGUGAGUCGUGUCAGCUUGGGAAACAUACCCGAGCUUCCUUUACGCGUAGUGUUGGAGAGUCAUGCAGAGUCUGUUUUCUCCUUGGUUCAUUCUGGAUUUCGUUAUUUUGUUAGCUUUAUUGAUGAUUACUUAAGAUGUACUUGACUUUUCUUAAUGAAAGAUCGUUCUGAGUUAUUCUCUAUAUUCCAGAGUUUUUGUGCUGAAAUCAAAAACCAAUUUGGUGUCUCUAUCCGCAUUUUUCGCAGUGAUAAUGCCUUAGAAUAUGUAUCUUCUCAGUUUCAGCAG
rnacentral:lncRNA from 1 species